UUCCAAUUUUAUGGGCGCACGGGGUGAGUAACACGUGGGUAAUCUGCCCAACAGCUCGGGAUAACCAUUGGAAACGUGGGCUAAUACCGGAUACGAACUAGUUUUAUCGUUAGUUGAAAGGAGGCCUCUGCUUGCAAGCUUUCACUGUUGGAUGAGCCCGCGGCUCAUUAGGUAGUUGGUGGGGUAACAGCCUACCAAGCCUGUGAUGAGUAACCGGCCUGAGAGGGUGAACGGUCACACUGGGACUGGAACACGGCCCAGACUCCUACGGGAGGCAGCAGUGGGGAAUAUCGCGCAAUGGACGAAAGUCUGACGCAGCGACGCCGCGUGAGGGAUGAAGGCCUUCGGGUCGUAAACCUCUGUCAGGAGGAAAGAACUGCACGGGUGCUAAUCAGCCCGUGUUUGACGGUACCUCCAGAGGAAGCACCGGCUAACUCCGUGCCAGCAGCCGCGGUAAUACGGAGGGUGCAAGCGUUAAUCGGAAUCACUGGGCGUAAAGCGCGCGUAGGCGGUGAUGAAAGUCAGUGGUGAAAGCCCCCAGCUUAACUGGGGAAUUGCCAUUGAAACUGCAUUGCUUGAGUAUGUGAGAGGAUAGUGGAAUUCCUGGUGUAGGAGUGAAAUCCGUAGAUAUCAGGAGGAAUACCAGUGGCGAAGGCGACUUUCUGGACACAAACUGACGCUGAGGUACGAAAGCAUGGGGAGCAAACAGGAUUAGAUACCCUGGUAGUCCAUGCCGUAAACGAUGAAUGCUAGGUGUCGGGGGUCAAACCUCGGUGCCGCAG
rnacentral:rRNA from 1 species